CAGAAAAGAUAUAACCGUGCCUGCCUUGUUCAUGAUAGCAAUGGCGGGUGAGGAAAGUCCGGGCUCCACCGGAAAAAACGCCGGGUAAUAACCGGGCAGAAUAGGGAACUUGUUCUUUGAUUGAGCAUAAGCCUUUUUUCUGACAGAAAGUGCCACAGAAAACAAACCGCCUUCGGGUAAGGGUGAAAGGGUGCGGUAAGAGCGCACCGCGUUUCUGGCAACGGAAACGGCAGGGCAAACCUCGUUUGGAGCAAGGUCAAGCAGCGGUCAGGUUUUCCGGACUAAUGGCCGCGGGUAGGCUGCUAAAGGCUUCUGGUGACAGAAGUUUCGGAUAGAUGGUUAUGCGUGCUUUUCUUUUUUGAAAAGUACAAGACAGAACCCGGCUUAUUGUCUUUUCUGUUUU
rnacentral:RNase_P_RNA from 1 species